rnacentral:tRNA from 1 species
GGGUGUACAGCUCAGUGGUAGAGUACAUGUUUGGCAUGCACGAGGUCCUGGGUUCAAUCCACAGCACCUCCA